UACAGAGGGUGCAAGCGUUGUUCGGAAUUAUUGGGCGUAAAGCGCGUGUAGGCGGCUUUGCAAGUCAGAUGUGAAAGCCCUCGGCUUAACCGAGGAAGUGCGUCUGAAACUGCAGAGCUUGAGUGUCGGAGAGGAUGGCGGAAUUCCGCAAGUAGAGGUGAAAUUCGUAGAUAUGCGGAGGAACACCGGUGGCGAAGGCGGCCAUCUGGACGACUACUGACGCUGAGACGCGAAAGCGUGGGGAGCAAACAGG
rnacentral:ncRNA from 2 species